rnacentral:rRNA from 1 species
AUUGAACGCUGGCGGCAGGCCUAACACAUGCAAGUCGAGCGGAUGAAGGGAGCUUGCUCCUGGAUUCAGCGGCGGACGGGUGAGUAAUGCCUAGGAAUCUGCCUGGUAGUGGGGGAUAACGUCCGGAAACGGGCGCUAAUACCGCAUACGUCCUGAGGGAGAAAGUGGGGGAUCUUCGGACCUCACGCUAUCAGAUGAGCCUAGGUCGGAUUAGCUAGUUGGUGGGGUAAAGGCCUACCAAGGCGACGAUCCGUAACUGGUCUGAGAGGAUGAUCAGCCACACUGGAACUGAGACACGGCCCAGACUCCUACGGGAGGCAGCAGUGGGGAAUAUUGGACAAUGGGCGAAAGCCUGAUCCAGCCAUGCCGCGUGUGUGAAGAAGGUCUUCGGAUUGUAAAGCACUUUAAGUUGGGAGGAAGGGCAGUAAGUUAAUACCUUGCUGUUUUGACGUUACCAACAGAAUAAGCACCGGCUAACUUCGUG